UAACGGCGAGUGAAGCGGCAACGCUCAAAUUUGAAAGCUGGCCUUCGGGUCCGCAUUGUAAUUUGUAGAGGAUGCUUUGGGUGAAACGCCAGUCUAAGUUCCUUGGAACAGGACGUCAUAGAGGGUGAGAAUCCCGUAUGUGACUGGAAAUGUUAACCUAUGUAAAGCUCCUUCGACGAGUCGAGUUGUUUGGGAAUGCAGCUCUAAAUGGGAGGUAAAUUUCUUCUAAAGCUAAAUAUUGGCGAGAGACCGAUAGCGCACAAGUAGAGUGAUCGAAAGAUGAAAAGCACUUUGGAAAGAGAGUUAAAAAGCACGUGAAAUUGUUGAAAGGGAAGCGCUUGCAAUCAGACUUGUUUAAACUGUUCGGCCGGUCUUCUGACCGGUUUACUCAGUUUGGACAGGCCAGCAUCAGUUUCGGCGGCCGGAUAAAGGCUCUGGGAAUGUGGCCUUCACUUCGGUGAAGGUGUUAUAGCCCAGGGUGUAAUACGGCCAGCCGGGACUGAGGUCCGCGCUUCGGCUAGGAUGCUGGCGUAAUGGUUGUAAGCGACCCGUCUUGAAACACGGACCAAGGAGUCUAACAUCUAUGCGAGUGUUCGGGUGUCAAACCCCUGCGCGUAAUGAAAGUGAACGGAGGUGGGAACCGCAAGGUGCACCAUCGACCGAUCCUGAUGUCUUCGGAUGGAUUUGAGUAAGAGCAUAGCUGUUGGGACCCGAAAGAUGGUGAACUAUGCCUGAAUAGGGUGAAGCCAGAGGAAACUCUGGUGGAGGCUCGCAGCGGUUCUGACGUGCAAAUCGAUCGUCAAAUUUGGGUAUAGGGGCGAAAGACUAAUCGAACCAUCUAGUAGCUGGUUCCUGCCGAAGUU
rnacentral:rRNA from 1 species